AGAACGAACGCUGGCGGCAGGCUUAACACAUGCAAGUCGAGCGCGCCCUUCGGGGUGAGCGGCGAACGGGUGAGUAACGCGUGGAACGUGCCCCUUCUUCGGAAUAGCCUCGGGAAACUGGGAGUAAUGCCGAAUACGCCCAUUUGGAGUGAUCCAUUUGGGGAAAGAUUUAUCGGAGAGGGAUCGGCCCGCGUUGGAUUAGGUAGUUGGUGGGGUAAUGGCCUACCAAGCCGACGAUCCAUAGCUGGUUUGAGAGGAUGAUCAGCCACACUGGGACUGAGACACGGCCCAGACUCCUACGGGAGGCAGCAGUGGGGAAUCUUGGACAAUGGGGGCAACCCUGAUCCAGCCAUGCCGCGUGAUCGAUGAAGGCCUUAGGGUUGUAAAGAUCGUUUCAGCUGGGAAGAUAAUGACGGUACCAGCAGAAGAAGCCCCGGCUAACUCCGCGCCAGCAGCCGC
rnacentral:rRNA from 1 species